UACAGAGGGUGCAAGCGUUAAUCGGAAUUACUGGGCGUAAAGGGUGCGUAGGUGGCAAGAGAAGUUAGGCGUGAAAGUCCUGGGCUCAACCUAGGGAUUGCGUUUAAUACUCUCUAGCUAGAGUAUAGGAGAGGGGAGUGGAAUUUCCGGUGUAGCGGUGAAAUGCGUAGAUAUCGGAAGGAACAUCAGUGGCGAAGGCGACUCUCUGGACUAAUACUGACACUGAGGCACGAAAGCGUGGGGAGCAAACAGG
rnacentral:rRNA from 1 species